rnacentral:rRNA from 1 species
GACGAACGCUGGCGGCGUGCUUAACACAUGCAAGUCGAACGGAAAGGCCCUGCUUUUGUGGGGUGCCCGAGUGGCGAACGGGUGAGUAACACGUGAGUAACCUGCCCUUGACUUUGGGAUAACUUCAGGAAACUGGGGCUAAUACCGGAUAGGAGCUCCUGCUGCAUGGUGGGGGUUGGAAAGUUUCGGCGGUUGGGGAUGGACUCGCGGCUUAUCAGCUUGUUGGUGGGGUAGUGGCUUACCAAGGCUUUGACGGGUAGCCGGCCUGAGAGGGUGACCGGCCACAUUGGGACUGAGAUACGGCCCAGACUCCUACGGGAGGCAGCAGUGGGGAAUAUUGCACAAUGGGCGGAAGCCUGAUGCGGCAACGCCGCGUGCGGGAUGACGGCCUUCGGGUUGUAAACCGCUUUCGCCUGUGACGAAGCGUGAGUGACGGUAAUGGGUAAAGAAGCACCGGCUAACUACGUG